GCGUUGUUCGGAAUUACUGGGCGUAAAGGGCUCGUAGGUGGCCAACUACGUCAGACGUGAAAUCCCUCGGCUUAACCGGGGAACUGCGUCUGAUACUGGAUGGCUUGAGUGUGGGAGAGGGAUGCGGAAUUCCAGGUGUAGCGGUGAAAUGCGUAGAUAUCUGGAGGAACACCGGUGGCGAAGGCGGCAUCCUGGACCAUUACUGACACUGAAAAGCGAAAGCCAGGGGAGCAAACGGG
rnacentral:rRNA from 1 species